GCCCGGAGCGGAGUCGGGGAUUGGUCGGCCAGGCGCAGGACCGGGCCGGGGCCUGCGGUGCGAGGGCGCUGCAAGUGGCAAGUGGAAGCAUUGCAACUGCCCUACUUUCCUCAGGAUCCUCCCUGAACUUCCCCAACUCCUGGGCCAGGUGUGAGUUUAGCAUGGCAAAGAAGGGUCUUCUACUGGACACCCACACUACCAAGGUCAGAGGCAGGAAGCACAGAGGAUGGAGGUGAAUUUCAGCUCUAGCUCCAUGUCUCAACUGCCUAUUAUCAAUGUUAAUGUCAUUGACCAAAACCAGAAUCUGAGGAGCAAUCUCAUCAUCAGAAAAAAAUUUCUUACACCUUCCUGAAUGAUCAUUUUAUAGGAUUUUGGGGAAAAUGCUAAUAAAGACAAUAGUCAUCUA